rnacentral:rRNA from 1 species
GAGUUUGAUCCUGGCUCAAGACGAACGCUGGCGGCGUGCUUAACACAUGCAAGUCGAACGGUGACCUCGGAGCUUGCUCCGGGUGAUCAGCGGCGAACGGGUGAGUAACACGUGAGCAACCUGCCCCCGACUCUGGGAUAACCCCGGGAAAUCGGAGCUAAUACCGGAUACGAGACGCACAGGCAUCUGUUGCGUCUGGAAAGAAUUUCGGUCGGGGAUGGGCUCGCGGCCUAUCAGCUAGUUGGUGGGGUAGUGGCCUACCAAGGCGAUGACGGGUAGCCGGCCUGAGAGGGCGACCGGCCACACUGGGACUGAGACACGGCCCAGACUCCUACGGGAGGCAGCAGUGGGGAAUAUUGCACAAUGGGCGCAAGCCUGAUGCAGCGACGCCGCGUGAGGGAUGACGGCCUCGGUUGUAAC